rnacentral:rRNA from 1 species
GAUAUCAAUAAGCGGAGGAAAAGAAACCAACAGGGAUUGCUUCAGUAACGGCGAAGUGAAGCGGCAACAGCUCAAAUUUGAAAUCUGGCCGCAAGGUCCGAGUUGUAAUUUGUAGAGGAUGCUUUUGGCGAGGUGCCUUCCGAGUUCCCUGGAACGGGACGCCAUAGAGGGUGAGAGCCCCGUACGGUAGGACCACCAAGCCUCUGUAAAGCUCCUUCGACGAGUCGAGUAGUUUGGGAAUGCUGCUCUAAAUGGGAGGUGUACGUCUUCUAAAGCUAAAUACCGGCCAGAGACCGAUAGCGCACAAGUAGAGUGAUCGAAAGAUGAAAAGCACUUUGAAAAGAGGGUUAAAAAGUACGUGAAAUUGUUGAAAGGGAAGCAUUCAUGACCAGACUUGGGCUUGGUUGAACAUCCGGCGUUCUCGCCGGUGCACUCUGCCAGUCCAGGCCAGCAUCAGUUUGCCCCGGGGGAUAAAGGCGGCGGGAAUGUGGCUCCCUUCGGGGAGUGUUAUAGCCCGUCGUGUAAUGCCCUGGGGCGGACUGAGGAACGCGCUUCGGCACGGAUGCUGGCGUAAUGGUCAUCAAUGACCCGUCUUGAAACACGGACCAAGGAGUCGUCUUCGUAUGCGAGUGUUCGGGUGUCAAACCCCUACGCGUAAUGAAAGUGAACGUAGGUGAGAGCUUCGGCGCAUCACCGACCGAUCCUGAUGUUCUCGGAUGGAUUUGAGUAAGAGCAUACGGGGCCGGACCCGAAAGAAGGUGAACUAUGCCUGUAUAGGGUGAAGCCAGAGGAAACUCUGGUGGAGGCUCGCAGCGGUUCUGACGUGCAAAAUCGAUCGUCAAAUAUGGGCAUGGGGGGCGAAAGACUAAUCGAACCUUCUAGUAGCUGGUUUCCGCCGA